GCGAACGCUGGCGGCAGGCCUAACACCUGCACGUCGAACGGAUCCUUCGGGAUUAGUGGCGGACGGGUGAGUAACACGUGGGAACGUGCCCUUUGGUUCGGAACAACUCAGGGAAACUUGAGCUAAUACCGGAUGUGCCCUUCGGGGGAAAGAUUUAUCGCCAUUGGAGCGGCCCGCGUCUGAUUAGCUAGUUGGUGAGGUAACGGCCCACCAAGGCGACGAUCAGUAGCUGGUCUGAGAGGAUGAUCAGCCACACUGGGACUGAGACACGGCCCAGACUCCUACGGGAGGCAGCAGUGGGGAAUCUUGCGCAAUGGGCGAAAGCCUGACGCAGCCAUGCCGCGUGAAUGAUGAAGGUCUUAGGAUUGUAAAAUUCUUUCAGCGGGGACGAUAAUGACGGUACCCGCAGAAGAAGCUCCGGCUAACUUCGUG
rnacentral:rRNA from 1 species